UAUUUAUUAGAUUAUAUUUUUUGCUUGUUAUUUUAAUUAUUUAAUAGAAAUAAUUUUUUUGUUUAUGUGUCUUAGUAUAUUUUGUUGAAUUGAUUUUUUUUAUUAUAGUUUAUUAGUAAUGUAAUUGGAUUUUGAAAUAAUUAUUUAAGUUUAAUAAAGUAAAUUUUGUUUGUUGUACCUUUUGUAUCAGGGUUUAUCAAAAUUUUUGUAUUUAUAUACUUGUCUCGAUUUAGGUUGAUUUAAAAACAACUUAUAGUUAAUGUAUCAUAAUUAUUGUUGAGUUGUUUUUAGAAAUGAAAUGUUAAUCGUUUCCUAAGAUAUCUAGUUUCUCAAGAAAAAAUUUAAUUUUUUAAAGUUUAUUGUUUUUAUUUAAUUUUUUAAUUAAAAAUAUUUACUUAUUUAUUCUUUAGGGGAUAAGCUCUAAAGUUUAAUAAUCUAUAAUUUAUUUAUUUUAUGGAAAAUAGUAGGCUUUAGACCAGCUAUCUAUUGGAUUACGUUUUAGUUCAUUAUUUUUUAUUUUGAUUUUAUAAUUAUUUUAGGUUUUGUAUUGGGAUUUUUAAUUAAAUUUUAUAAUUUUUGUAAUAAUGAUUGAAUUAGUAUAUUAAUUUGUUUAUAAUAUUUUCUUUUUAAAAUUUAUUAUAAGGAACUAGGCAAAAUUGAUUUCCGCCUGUUUAUCAAAAACAUGUCCUCUUGAUAAUAUUAUGAGGUCUGGCCUGCUCACUGACGAGUAUUUAAAGAGCCGCGGUAAUUUGACCGUGCAAAGGUAGCAUAAUCAUUAGUCUCUUAAUUAGGGGCUGGAAUGAAUGGCUUGACGAGAAAUCUACUGUCUCUUAAUAAAAUUUUGAAUUUAACUUUUAAGUCAAAAGGCUUAAAUUUUUCUUUAGGACGAGAAGACCCUAUAGAGCUUGACAUUUUAUUUUUAUAUAAUUUUUAGUUAGUCUUUUUAUAUUUAAUGAUAAUGUUUUGUUGGGGUGACAUGAAGAAUAAUUAAACUCUUCGUUAUUAAAUCAUUGAUUUAUGUGUAUAGAAUGAUCCAUAAUUUAUGAUCAUAAGAUUAAGUUACCUUAGGGAUAACAGCGUAAUUAUUUUCGAGAGCUCAUAUCGACAAAUUAGAUUGCGACCUCGAUGUUGGAUUAAGAAAAAUUUUGGGUGCAGUAGCCCAGUGAUUAGGUCUGUUCGACCUUUAAAUUCUUACAUGAUCUGAGUUCAGACCGGCGUGAGCCAGGUCGGUUUCUAUCCUAAGUAUAUUUAACCACAUUAGUACGAAAGGACCAUGUGGUUAGAAUAUUUUUUAUGUUAUUGAUUAAUAUUAAUAAAUU
rnacentral:rRNA from 1 species